GUGAGGAAUAUUGGUCAAUGGACGAGAGUCUGAACCAGCCAAGUAGCGUGAAGGAUGACUGCCCUAUGGGUUGUAAACUUCUUUUAUACGGGAAUAAAGUGAGGCACGUGUGCCUUUUUGUAUGUACCGUAUGAAUAAGGAUCGGCUAACUCCGUGCCAGCAGCCGCGGUAAUACGGAGGAUCCGAGCGUUAUCCGGAUUUAUUGGGUUUAAAGGGAGCGUAGGCGGACGCUUAAGUCAGUUGUGAAAGUUUGCGGCUCAACCGUAAAAUUGCAGUUGAUACUGGGUGUCUUGAGUACAGUAGAGGCAGGCGGAAUUCGUGGUGUAGCGGUGAAAUGCUUAGAUAUCACGAAGAACUCCGAUUGCGAAGGCAGCCUGCUGGACUGUAACUGACGCUGAUGCUCGAAAGUGUGGGUAUCAAACAGGAUUAGAUACCCCGGUAGUCC
rnacentral:rRNA from 1 species